AUCACACAAUCGUCAAAAUGUGCAGUUGAGUGAAGCGAUGUAUGAAAUUUUUGGGUGCAUUGAAGCAUUUGUUGAGGGAGCUAACUCUCAUAUUGUUUUUUUUCCUACUUUUUGGGAAUUGACGCCUGCAACUGAAUAGCAAUUGAUGAAGAUGAUAUCACGGCCGACAUUAAAUGUACUGAGGCUUCUUACGCCCGCACAUCAGUAUUUGUUCAAUCCAUUUCUUAUGGAGAAAUAUUGCGCUCCUAUCCUAGUCAAUAAAAUUCAAGCAAAACUUUUAUCAUCACAACCGCUAGAAACAAUAAAGGAUACAUGGCUCUCAACCAAAAUGAUGAACACCCGUUUGCGUUUAGGCAUGGCACCAAGACCAAACCCUUACUAUCGUCUUAGAGGUUUGAUUCUUUUUCAAGGGGUUGAGGCUGUAAAUUGGAAGGACUAUUUUAAAAUUUUUCAGAUGGAAGACACAUUUCAUUCAUGGUUUUUAGUAAUUGAACUCCAUAUGUGGAUGUUAAAUGUCAGAAUAGCCCGUGAAAAGAAAGAGGGUGACAUGAUUAAGAAGUAUUCCAUGGAGCACAUGUGGGACGCUGCCCAAGCAAGAGCCAAAAAGCUAGAAUCUUAUGCACCAUCUGCAAUGCAAGACGGCUUUGAGGCUUUGCAUGAAGAACUUAUUGCUGCAUUUUUAUUAUACGAUCAUGGACUUCUUACAUCAGAUGUAGAACUUGCUGGAGCUCUCUAUUUCCGUUUCUUACAAGAGAAAUGUGAUGACCCGGAAAAGCUAGAGAUCUUGGUGAAACACGUGAGAAAUCAGAUACAUCUUCUAGACGAUUCGUCAAAAGAAGAAAUUGUGGAUAGAGCAAAUGUUAAAUGGCUGCCUAUAUCUGAAAAAUUAUAGAAAUACAUUUAUACCAUAGGACUUUUUCCAAAUUGUCCUUUUGCAGUGUGAAAGGAUAUUGGCUGAACUUUUGGCAGUGAUCAUUCUGACCAGGCACGGUUUUUAGCGAGUUGCAUAUAACCCUUUCUGCACACCACUGAUCACAUCCUCUUCGGUGGCUGGGAUCACUAUCCAACAUGUGAGACCUGGAUAGGGCAAAAAGGAACAAUAGGAAAUUAAGCAGUAUAAAUGUGGAUGAUUCAUCUUCAAAUUUUACAGGGGAACAUUUUUUAAUUUACCAGUAAUAUUUCUGCAACAUUUGUCUGUCUGUAGCUAGACUUCCUAUAAAUGUUUCCAGAUGAACAGGAUGCAUGGAUUUCACUCCAAAUGUCUCUUUAAAAGAGUAGAUACGAUACCAGUCUGGCCUUUUAUCUGGGUUUUCAUUUGCAUGUGUUAAAUUAAAUCCCCAGAGUUCUGCGUCUAUUACAUCCUGAGUGAAGAAAGAUAAACAAGAUAAAAGGAAUUAACUUGUAUGUUAUUCUUCACUUACAUGUACAAUUGUACUGUACACAUGUACUAACCCAUGUUGCUUGCUCAUUUUUGCCAUCGACCAGGUAUAGUUUGUAAUUGGGGUUUACAUCAGAAUACGUUGUAAGAGAGCCUCCAUUGUAUGCUACAUUAUUAGGCCGGCCGUUCUGAUCAUAAAACAGAACCAAGUCAUCAACAUGUGUGUGUCCAUUAAAAUGAGCUGAUAUUGUCGCUGAAAAUCUGAAAGGGAAAGUAUUUUAAAAGAAUAAAAAAAUAAGUAGACUUGAUACUAUA